GAAAAAAUAACUUUUUAGAAUGUAUUUUUUUUCUGUCAACUUUCAUUUAACACUCCAGUCCAGUUGGUGGCAGUAAUGCGCUUUCAUAGUUGGUCAAGCAGCCGCCAUUAAACUCCAGAGGAAGAUUUGCACCGGCUACUGCUAAACCCAACAUGAACGAAAAUGCCCGUGCGUUGUGUGAAAUGGUGGAAAAAGUCCUAUUUCACAUAGUUACCUUUUCAGUAUCGUUUUGAUAUUAAGCAAUGUCCCGGCGGAAAACAACAGAUGACACCGCAGCGGUCCAACAAGGCCGAACCCACGUACAGCAAGGCAGAGUGUGGAAAGCAGUAGAGAUCGACAACAUGGCGGACGGAGGACGGAUAUGAGGACGACGUCAUGAAGCCGACACUCCACAGAAUGGGAGUCACAUUUGUGUCAAUCAGACUCUUCAGGAACGUCCUGAUGUCCGUGAUGAGGACAGAGAUGCAACUGUGUGUGAGUAUCUACUAUUUUAGAAUGUUGAUAUUUUAUGCUUCAAUAUUGUUUAUGUACAUAAUGUAAUUAUGCUAUGUAUUGACAAUGCACAAAAAUGUU